GUGACUGACACCCUGCUUUCCCCUUAUACCUUAGGUUCAUUUUGCUGGCUUGUGAUGGGCUCUUCAAGGUCUUUACCCCAGAAGAAGCUGUGAACUUCAUCUUGUCCUGCCUUGAGGAUGAGAAGAUCCAGACCCGAGAAGGGAAGCCUGCUGUUGAUGCCCGCUAUGAAGCUGCAUGCAACAGGCUGGCUAACAAGGCAGUGCAGCGGGGCUCGGCAGAUAACGUGACGGUGAUGGUGGUGAGGAUAGGACACUGAGGCCGCACACUGCACGUGUGCUCUUGACUUGCAGGUUCAUCUUGUUUGUGCACGCUGUGUGUACUCCUGUGGGGCUUCUAUGGUUGUAAAUAAAGGUUUCUUUUUUUCCU
rnacentral:lncRNA from 1 species